ACUAUCCUCCUGCUUCGGCCUCCCAAAUAGCUGGGACUCCAGGUCUUUCCGUAAGACUGGUUCCUGACAGUUCUCGUUAGAACAAGGCACAGCUUGAAAUAAGCACUGCUGAAGGUGGUCCUGCAACAGAGAACAACAGAAUUCUGGCUUUCUUCCAUCAAGAUAAUAUGGGAAGAGCACAGGAACUGGAGUCAGAAGACUUGGGCUUGGGUCCUUCCCCAUCCCUGCGUGCUGUGAGAUCUUUCAAAACACUUUUGAGCCUCAGCUUGC